AUACGGAGGGUGCAAGCGUUAUUCGGAAUCACUGGGCGUAAAGGACGCGUAGGCGGGUUGGCAAGUCAGAUGCGAAAUCCUACAGCUUAACUGUAGAACUGCAUUUGAAACUGCUAACCUAGAGUAUGGGAGGGGGAGAUGGAAUUAGUGGUGUAGGGGUAAGAUCCGUAGAUAUCACUAGGAAUACCGAAAGCGAAGGCGAUCUCCUGGAACAUAACUGACGCUAAGGCGUGAAAGCGUGGGGAGCAAACAGGAUUAGAAACCCUAGUAGUCC
rnacentral:rRNA from 1 species